UACAGAGGUCCCAAGCGUUGUUCGGAUUCAUUGGGCGUAAAGGGUGCGUAGGCGGCGCGGCAAGUCGGGUGUGAAAUCUCGGAGCUUAACUCCGAAACUGCAUUCGAUACUGCCGUGCUUGAGGACUGGAGAGGGGACUGGAAUUUACGGUGUAGCGGUGAAAUGCGUAGAUAUCGUAAGGAAGACCAGUGGCGAAGGCGGGUCUCUGGACAGUUCCUGACGCUGAGGCACGAAGGCCAGGGGAGCAAACGGG
rnacentral:rRNA from 1 species